AAAUUUGGAUUAAUACCUCAUAGUAUAAUGAUUUGGCAUCAAGACAUUAUUAAAGUCACAACGGUGAAAGAUGAGCAUGCGUCCCAUUAGCUAGUUGGUAUGGUAACGGCAUGCCAAGGCGACGAUGGGUAGGGGUCCUGAGAGGGAGAUCCCCCACACUGGUACUGAGACACGGACCAGACUCCUACGGGAGGCAGCAGUGAGGAGUAUUGGACAAUGGGCGCAAGCCUGAUCCAGCCAUGCCGCGUGCAGGAUGACGGUCCUAUGGAUUGUAAACUGCUUUUGCACAGGAAGAAACAACGCUACGUGUAGCGUCUUGACGGUACUGUGAGAAUAAGGAUCGGCUAACUCCGUGCCAGCAGCCGCGGUAAUACGGAGGAUCCAAGCGUUAUCCGGAAUCAUUGGGUUUAAAGGGUCCGUAGGCGGUUUAGUAAGUCAGUGGUGAAAGCCCAUCGCUCAACGGUGGAACGGCCAUUGAUACUGCUAAACUUGAAUUAUUAGGAAGUAACUAGAAUAUGUAGUGUAGCGGUGAAAUGCUUAGAGAUUACAUGGAAUACCAAUUGCGAAGGCAGGUUACUACUAAUGGAUUGACGCUGAUGGACGAAAGCGUGGGUAGCGAACAGGAUUAGAUACCCUGGUAGUCCACGCCGUAAACGAUGGAUACUAGCUGUUGGGGGCAACUUCAGUGGCUAAGCGAAA
rnacentral:rRNA from 1 species